GUUGCAUAAGAGCGUUGGUAAUCGGUUAGCGUGUAACAAUAGUAAAAGGCAAUACCGUUGCAGCUUAGAUGUUUAACGGGCAUGACUGGAAUUCGUAAUUCUAGAUCGAUUCGAUUAGGUUAAAUGCAACAAUCAAUUUUUCCUUCCUUAAAGAUAAAGAUUCCAUUUAUUAAAAAUUGUUCUCGAUCGAUUGUAAUAACCUAUUUAAAUUCGUCACCUCGAGACUUCGACUCGACCAAUUUCGUCAAUCAAUCAACUAUCUUUCAGUGAUAUUUUGGAUGGGUAUUGUAGAAGCGCGAAGAAUGGAAAUGAUCAAGAUACGUGAAGUUUCUGCGAGAUACCAAAAUUUAUAUUUGUGACACUUCAAGGACUAUCGAGUUCCAAGUUUCCAUGACGUCUGCGAGCCAAGGAGUGGUCUCACAAAUGCAUAGCAAACUCGAGUAGAAUACAAAGAGAUAUAAAGUUGGAACAUGUUUACAUUUAUGUUAAUUGUAAUAAACAGAAAAUUUGCUAUUCGAAAAUUCCAUUCGAAAAAUAUUCGAAAAAUCCAAUUCGAUCAAGUUCCAUUUCGAUCAAUAAGCAUAAAUUACAAAGAUUAUCAUGAUCACGAAAAAGAAGAAACGUGUCCAUAUUAUAUGCAGAUUUCAAGUUAAUUUGAAAAAUAUAAAUUUACACCAUUUAAAUUAAAUAUUUAAAUUACAAUAUUUUGAAUUAGAGUUAAUUCUUUCUUUGACACGUGAUUCUAUAAAUUAUGAUAAAAUUAUGAAUAAUAGUUAAUUAGCAGAAAUUCCUCUGACGUAAUCGAAUGUAUUACAAAACUAAUAAAAUAAAUAUUCAAACAA